ACGCUGGCGGCGUGCCUAAUACAUGCAAGUAGAACGCUGAAGGAGGAGCUUGCUUCUCUGGAUGAGUUGCGAACGGGUGAGUAACGCGUAGGUAACCUGCCUGGUAGCGGGGGAUAACUAUUGGAAACGAUAGCUGAUACCGCAUAACAGUAGAUGUUGCAUGACAUUUGCUUAAAAGGUGCAAUUGCAUCACUACCAGAUGGACCUGUGUUGUAUUAGCUAGUUGGUGGGGUAACGGCUCACCAAGGCGACGAUACAUAGCCGACCUGAGAGGGUGAUCGGCCACACUGGGACUGAGACACGGCCCAGACUCCUACGGGAGGCAGCAGUAGGGAAUCUUCGGCAAUGGACGGAAGUCUGACCGAGCAACGCCGGGUGAGUGAAGAAGGUUUUCGGAUCGUAAAGCUCUGUUGUAAGAGAAGAACAGGUGUGAGAGUGGAAAGUUCACACUGUGACGGUAUCUUACCAGAAAGGGACGGCUAACUACGUGCCAGCAGCCGCGGUAAUACGUAGGUCCCGAGCGUUGUCCGGAUUUAUUGGGCGUAAAGCGAGCGCAGGCGGUUAGAUAAGUCUGAAGUUAAAGGCUGUGGCUUAACCAUAGUACGCUUUGGAAACUGUUUAACUUGAGUGCAAGAGGGGAGAGUGGAAUUCCAUGUGUAGCGGUGAAAUGCGUAGAUAUAUGGAGGAACACCGGUGGCGAAAGCGGCUCUCUGGCUUGUAACUGACGCUGAGGCUCGAAAGCGUGGGGAGCAAACAGGAUUAGAUACCCCUGGUAGUCCACGCCGUAAACGAUGAGUGCUAGGUGUUAGACCCUUUCCGGGGUUUAGUGCCGCAGCUAACGCAUUAAGCACUCCGCCUGGGGAGUACGACCGCAAGGUUGAAACUCAAAGGAAUUGACGG
rnacentral:rRNA from 1 species